GAUGAACGCUGGCGGCGUGCCUAAUACAUGCAAGUCGAGCGAACGGACGAGAAGCUUGCUUCUCUGAUGUUAGCGGCGGACGGGUGAGUAACACGUGGAUAACCUACCUAUAAGACUGGGAUAACUUCGGGAAACCGGAGCUAAUACCGGAUAAUAUUUUGAACCGCAUGGUUCAAAAGUGAAAGACGGUCUUGCUGUCACUUAUAGAUGGAUCCGCGCUGCAUUAGCUAGUUGGUAAGGUAACGGCUUACCAAGGCAACGAUGCAUAGCCGACCUGAGAGGGUGAUCGGCCACACUGGAACUGAGACACGGUCCAGACUCCUACGGGAGGCAGCAGUAGGGAAUCUUCCGCAAUGGGCGAAAGCCUGACGGAGCAACGCCGCGUGAGUGAUGAAGGUCUUCGGAUCGUAAAACUCUGUUAUUAGGGAAGAACAUAUGUGUAAGUAACUGUGCACAUCUUGACGGUACCUAAUCAGAAAGCCACGGCUAACUACGUGCCAGCAGCCGCGGUAAUACGUAGGUGGCAAGCGUUAUCCGGAAUUAUUGGGCGUAAAGCGCGCGUAGGCGGUUUUUUAAGUCUGAUGUGAAAGCCCACGGCUCAACCGUGGAGGGUCAUUGGAAACUGGAAAACUUGAGUGCAGAAGAGGAAAGUGGAAUUCCAUGUGCAGCGGUGAAAUGCGCAGAGAUAUGGAGGAACACCAGUGGCGAAGGCGACUUUCUGGUCUGUAACUGACGCUGAUGUGCGAAAGCGUGGGGAUCAAACAGGAUUAGAUACCCUGGUAGUCCACGCCGUAAACGAUGAGUGCUAAGUGUUAGGGGGUUUCCGCCCCUUAGUGCUGCAGCUAACGCAUUAAGCACUCCGCCUGGGGAGUACGACCGCAAGGUUGAAACUCAAAGGAAUUGACGGGGACCCGCACAAGCGGUGGAGCAUGUGGUUUAAUUCGAAGCAACGCGAAGAACCUUACCAAAUCUUGACAUCCUUUGACAACUCUAGAGAUAGAGCCUUCCCCUUCGGGGGGGCAAAGUGACAGGUGGUGCAUGGUUGUCGUCAGCUCGUGUCGUGAGAUGUUGGGUUAAGUCCCGCAACGAGCGCAACCCUUAAGCUUAGUUGCCAUCAUUAAGUUGGGCACUCUAAGUUGACUGCCGGUGACAAACCGGAGGAAGGUGGGGAUGACGUCAAAUCAUCAUGCCCCUUAUGAUUUGGGCUACACACGUGCUACAAUGGACAAUACAAAGGGCAGCGAAACCGCGAGGUCAAGCAAAUCCCAUAAAGUUGUUCUCAGUUCGGAUUGUAGUCUGCAACUCGACUACAUGAAGCUGGAAUCGCUAGUAAUCGUAGAUCAGCAUGCUACGGUGAAUACGUUCCCGGGUCU
rnacentral:rRNA from 1 species